GAUGAACGCUGGCGGCGUGCCUAAUACAUGCAAGUCGAGCGAACAGACGAGGCGCUUGCUCCUCUGACGUUAGCCGCGGACGGGUGAAUAACACGUGGAUAACCUACCUAUAAGACUGGUAUAACUUCGGGAAACCGGAGCUAAUACCGGAUAAUAUAUUGCACCGCGUGGUUCGAUAGUAAAAGACGGUUUUUCUGUCACUUAUAGAUGGAUCCGAGCCGCAUUAGCUGGUUGUUAAGGUAAUGGGUUACCACGGCAACGAUGCGUAGACGACCGCAGAGGGGGGUAGGCGACAUGGGAGGGGAGCCACGGUCCAGACUACUACGGGAGGGCGCAGAAGGGUAUCUUACGCAAUGGGCGAGAGUCUGACGGAGCAACGCCACGUGUGAUAUGGAGGUCUCGGGUGCGUAAUACUGGGUUAUGAGGGAAGAACAAAUUUGGAAGUAACUAUGCACGUAGUGACGGUAAUGGAUCAGAAAGCCACGGCUAACUACGUG
rnacentral:rRNA from 1 species